rnacentral:rRNA from 1 species
UACGUAGGGUGCGAGCGUUACUCGGAAUUACUGGCCGUAAAGCGUGCGCAGGCGGUUUGUUAGGUCUCAUGUGAAAGCCCCGAGCUUAACUUGAGAACUGCUUUUGAGACUGGCUCGCUAGAGUCCGUCAGAGGGGGGUAGAAUUCCACGUGUAGCAGUGAAAUGCGUAGAGAUGUGGAGGAAUAACAAUGGCGAAGGCAGCUCCCUGGGAUAAGACUGACGCUCAUGCACGAAAGCGUGGGGAGCAAACAGGAUUAGAUACCCUGGUAGUACACGCCCUAAACGAUGUCAACUGGUUGUUGGGCAACUUGAUUGUUCAGUAACGAAGCUAACGCGAGAAGUUGACCGCCUGGGGAGUACGGUCGCAAGAUUAAAAUUCAAAGGAAUUGACGGGGACCCGCACAAGCGGUGGAUGAUGUGGAUUAAUUCGAUGCAACGCGAAAAACCUUACCUACCCUUGACAUGUACGGAAGUCUGCUGAGAGGUGGAUGUGCCUGAAAGGGAACCGUAACACAGGUGCUGCAUGGCUGUUGUCACCUCGUGUCGUGAGAUGUUGGGUUAAGUCCCGCACCGAGCGCACCCCUUGCUAUUACUUGCCAUCAUUAAGUUGGGCACUUUAAUAGGACUGCUGGUGAUAAACCGGAGGAAGGUGGGGAUGACGUCAAGUCCUCAUGGCCCUUAUGGGUAGGGCUUCACACGUCAUACAAUGGCCGGUACAGAGGGAUGUCAACCCGCGAGGGGGAGCCAAUUUCAGAAAGCCGGUCGUAGUCCGGAUUCUUCUCUGCAACUCGAGAGCAUGAAGUCGGAAUCGCUAGUAAUCGCGGAUCAGCAUGUCGCGGAGAAUACGUUCCCAGGUGCU